rnacentral:rRNA from 1 species
AUUGAACGCUGGCGGCAUGCCUUACACAUGCAAGUCGAACGGUAACAGGUCUUCGGAUGCUGACGAGUGGCGAACGGGUGAGUAAUACAUCGGAACGUGCCCGAUCGUGGGGGGAUAACGCAGCGAAAGCUGUGCUAAUACCGCAUACGAUCUACGGAUGAAAGCGGGGGAUCGCAAGACCUCGCGCGGAACGGAGCGGCCGAUGGCAGAUUAGGUAGUUGGUGGGAUAAAAGCUUACCAAGCCGACGAUCUGUAGCUGGUCUGAGAGGACGGCCAGCCACACUGGGACUGAGACACGGCCCAGACUCCUACGGGAGGCAGCAGUGGGGAAUUUUUGGACAAUGGGCGCAAGCCUGAUCCAGCCAAUGCCGCGUGCAGGAUGAAGGCCU